UUUAUUUAUAACCAUCAAAUUUAUAUUUUCGUAUUUAUGAAUGUUUACAAUUAUUAAAUAUAAUUAAUAAUCUUCAUAAUUAUAUUUAUAACCAUCAAAUUUAUCCACAUAACCUUAUACUUUGUUUAAUAACUAUCUAUACGUUAAUUAAAUGACAAUAUUACUUUUGUAAGUUAGAUGUUACAGACAGAGCAAAUCAAACAUAAGCUGUAAUUAGGGAUUUAGAAAUUUAAAAAGCAAUAAACAUUGUAAAAAUUCAUUAAAAAAAAGAAAAAAAGAGAGGAAAANAAAAACGGCAGACAAGAAAAGAUGAAAAAAAGAAAGGAAAAAAGGGGGGAAAACAGGAAAAGAAAACGCAGGCACAAAAAGAGGAAAAAAUGAGAAAAAGAGAGAGAAAAAUGUAUGGAAAAAAGGAGAAAAAAGAAAGAAAAAAUGGUGAAAAACAGGAAGAAAGAAAAUGUAGGCAAAGGGUUUCGAACCCCUGGCAUUGAAAUCAGCCUUACAAGUCACUAGUAUUGCCAUUACACCACGCCACUAUUUCAAUUUUAGUUGCCAAACUUUAUAGUAAUAUCAAUGCUGAUGCGGGUUAGGAUGGACC
rnacentral:lncRNA from 1 species